CGGCGCGCGCCCAGGAAAGGGCCGUCCCCGAAACCCCGCAGUGGGCCGAGCGGUGGCCGGGCCUCCGCGGCAGUCCCGGAGCCGUGCAGCUGCGCCCCGAGACCCCUCUUUCUCCCGUGUUUCCUUGUUUCCUCGCACGCCGGGCCCGCCCGGCCCCGUUCGGCGAGCUGCGGUGGCGCGUGCUUUGUGCAGAUGCGAGGCUGGGAUCCAGGCGGUGCAAACACAAAGGGCAGGCCUCGGGGUGCGACCGAGCUGAGACGGGCCCCGCCCCGAAGGCAAAAGCCACUGCGGAGGAGAAGGCUUUUGAUGCAGGUUGCCAAACCAGCCUCCAGAAGGUCCGCCAGUUUACACUUGUUCUCUGCAGGAAGUAGGAAUACAUUUGAUGCAGAAAUUGUGGAGACUGUGGAAGAGUACAAAGAAGAAAGUUUAAGAAGUCACCCAUGAGCCCCAAACCCCCUAUUUAUUUUUUAGUCCUUGCCUUUACUCUGUGGAGCAAAUAAUGCCAAUUUAAGUGUGUCUGCGAGAGGAACUGUGAUGCCAUCAGGCCGGUGGCAGGGGCAGCCCAACAGGUAGGUCCAGCAUCUUCUCUAGACUGAACGUAGGACCCACUCUGUCCCCCUGUACCUCGGUCGCUCUCACCUCUUGACUGUAUCCUCGCUGGAGAGAGAGGUCUUCACAUUCUUGUUUCAUCCUCACAAGAAGCACCGUAGUCCCCACUUGACAAAAGAGGAAACCAAGGCAGCUAUAAGAUAAAUAACUCCUGGGAGCUAGUGAGCAGCCUGAUUCACAGCACAAUUGAGAGGAAGGGACAGAGCUUUCCCAUAACUCCCUGCCCGGCACACAUGCGCAGCUUCCCCCGUUAUCAACAUCCUCACCAGACGGAUACAUUUGUUACAAUGGAUGAACCUCCAUGACACAUCACAACCACCCAAAGUCUAUAGCUGACUUUAGGGUUCACUCUUAGUGUUGUACAUUCUGUGGGUUUGGACAAAUGCAUAUUGACAGGUGUCCAUCAUUAUAGUAUCGUGCAGAGUAUUUUCACUGCCCUGAAAAAUCCUCUGUGCUCUAUUUG